AAUAAAUCUUAGCCCUUAAAUUUUUUAAAAUGGACGGUAGUGAUGCAUCUUUUAUAAAAGUUUUUAGCCCUUAAAUUUUUUAAAAUGGACUGUAGUGAUGCAUCUUUUAUAAAAGGGCGACCCGCUGCUUUUGUUGUGAUCGGUACCGGUCAACCCCCCUAUCGAAUACAAAAGCUUCCUCAUUACAUGGAGUUGCACUGAGGGUAUUUUUGUAAAUUCUCAUCCUCAUAACAUACCAUAUUUGUAAAUACAGAAUAUUUUAUCUUUCUCCUUCAAUAUUCCAUCUUUGCAUAAUUACCUUUCCUAAAUUAGAUUUUCUUUACUAAUGAAUCAUAUUCAAAUUCAAAAUAUAAAAUGAUGCAUUAUUGAAAGGAUUUAGCUUAUCCGUUGUUCUUGAGCCUGACUUGAACAAGAGCUUGAAAGUUUAGCCAGUUUUAAAUUUAUUUGUACAAUUUGAGUAUUAAAUAAAAAUUUAAACCUGUCGCAAAUUUAAAUUUUUGUUGCAUCCAAAAUAAUAUUCAAAUAUAAAAUAUUCCAAAUAACAAGUUAUAUUAUGCAAUCUCUUAGUAAUAAAAUAUGAAAUAUNACAGAAUAUUUUAUCUUUCUCCUUCAAUAUUCCAUCUUUGCAUAAUUACCUUUCCUAAAUUAGAUUUUCUUUACUAAUGAAUCAUAUUCAAAUUCAAAAUAUAAAAU
rnacentral:lncRNA from 1 species